CCUACGGGAGGCAGCAGUGAGGAAUAUUGGUCAAUGGCCGGGAGGCUGAACCAGCCAAGUCGCGUGAGGGAAGACGGCCCUACGGGUUGUAAACCUCUUUUGUCAGGGAGCAAGGUGCAGGUCGGGACCUGCUGUGAGAGUACCUGAAGAAAAAGCAUCGGCUAACUCCGUGCCAGCAGCCGCGGUAAUACGGAAGGUCCGGGCGUUAUCCGGAUUUAUUGGGUUUAAAGGGAGCGUAGGCCGCAUGUCAAGCGUGCUGUGAAAUGUCCGGGCUCAACCCGGGCCUUGCAGCGCGAACUGGCGUGCUUGAGUCCGCGGAAAGCAGGCGGAAUUCGUCGUGUAGCGGUGAAAUGCUUAGAUAUGACGAAGAACCCCGAUUGCGAAGGCAGCUUGCUGCAGCGGAACUGACGCUGAUGCUCGAAAGCGCGGGUAUCGAACAGGAUUAGAUACCCGGGUAGUC
rnacentral:rRNA from 1 species